rnacentral:rRNA from 1 species
CAUGGAGGGUGAGAAUCCCGUCCGGCUGACCUUCAGGACGUUUUACGAUACGCUCUCAAAAGAGUCGAGUUGUUUGGGAUUGCAGCUCAAAAUGGGAGGUAAAUUUCUCCUAAGGCUAAAUACCGGCGAGAGACCGAUAGCGAACAAGUACCGUGAGGGAAAGAUGAAAAGAAUUUUGAAAAGAAAGUCAAACAGUACGUGAAAUUGUUGAAAGGGAAACGAUUGAAGCCAGUCGUACCGACGGGAAUUCAACUUCUCGAGUGCUAAUCGUGGGUGACGUUGAGCCUCACGGCCUUCGUUGCUUGUGUUGUUGGUGCUUUUGGGGUGUACUUUUCCGUAUUGGUAGGUCAGCAUCGAUUUCGAUCGUCAUAAAAUGAUCGGGGGAAUGUAGCUUCGGUCUCGUAUCGGAGUGUUAUAGACCUUGGUAGAUGUGACGAUUGGGAUCGAGGAUUGCAACGAAUACCUUCUGGGCUAUCCGUCUGACCUCUGAAAGUCGCUCGGGUGUCGAAAGCGUGCUUAUGGCUAUUCGAGUUGGCGGUCAAUAGGUUAGAACGUGAUUACAUUCGUUAAGGAUGUUGACGUAAUGG